AGUGAACGCUGGCGGUAGGCCUAACACAUGCAAGUCGAACGGCAGCACAGUAAGAGCUUGCUCUUACGGGUGGCGAGUGGCGGACGGGUGCGGAAUACAUCGGAAUCUACUUUUUCGUGGGGGAUAACGUAGGGAAACUUACGCUAAUACCGCAUACGACCUACGGGUGAAAGCAGUGGAUCUUCGUACCUUGCGCGAUUGAAUGAGCCGAUGUCGGAUUAGCUAGUUGGCGGGGUAAAGGCCCACCAAGGCGACGAUCCGUAGCUGGUCUGAGAGGAUGAUCAGCAACACUGGAACUGAGACACGGGCCAGACUCCUACGGGAGGCAGCAGUGGGGAAUAUUGGACAAAGGGCGCAAGCCUGAUCCAGCCAUACCGCGUGGGUGAAGAAGGCCUUCGGGUUGUAAAGCCCUUUUGUUGGGAAAGAAAAGCAGCAGGUUAAUACCCCGCUGUUCUGACGGUACCAAAAGAAUAAGCACCGGCUAACUUCGUG
rnacentral:rRNA from 1 species